UACGUAGGGUGCGAGCGUUGUCCGGAAUUAUUGGGCGUAAAGAGCUUGUAGGCGGUUUGUCGCGUCUGCCGUGAAAAUCCGGGGCUCAACCCCGGACUUGCGGUGGGUACGGGCAGACUAGAGUGUGGUAGGGGAGACUGGAAUUCCUGGUGUAGCGGUGAAAUGCGCAGAUAUCAGGAGGAACACCGAUGGCGAAGGCAGGUCUCUGGGCCACUACUGACGCUGAGAAGCGAAAGCGUGGGGAGCGAACGGG
rnacentral:rRNA from 1 species